GGUCGUCGUGAUAGUAAUUCAGCUCAGUACGAGAGGAACCGUUGAUUCAGAUAAUUGGUCUUGGCACUUGGCUGAGAAGCUAUCGGUGCGGAGCUACCAUCUGUCGGAUUAUGGCUGAACGCCUCUAAGCCAGAAGCCUUGCUAGAAACGACGAUAGACAAUCUCUCCUGGUUUCGAUGUGAUAUCCACAGGGCAUAGUGUAAGAGCAAUGGGGGUAAACCCUUUUGCUCUUGUGCCGAAUGUACCCGUGUCAAUCAGAGUAACGGUGAGCGUGGGAGUGAGUGAUGACUCGUUGUGUAUAUCUUACUUCUUUUCGUUAAGAAUGGAGAGGACACAUCGUGUUUUCAGUAUAUCUCUACGAGGAUAAACGGGAGGGUAC
rnacentral:rRNA from 1 species